rfam:TPA: Bos taurus chromosome 29, whole genome shotgun sequence.
UCCCUGGUGGUCUAGUAGUUAGGACUCUGUGCUUUCACUGCUGUGGACCUGGGUUCAAUCCCUGGUUAGGGAA